rnacentral:rRNA from 1 species
UACGGAGGGUGCAAGCGUUGCUCGGAAUCACUGGGCGUAAAGGGUGCGUAGGCGGGUCUUUAAGUCAGGGGGGAAAUCCUGGAGCUCAACUCCAGAACUGCCUUUGAUACUGAAGAUCUUGAGUGCGGGAGAGGUGAGUGGAACUGCGAGUGUAGAGGUGAAAUUCGUAGAUAUUCGCAAGAACACCAGUGGCGAAGGCGGCUCACUGGCCCGAUACUGACGCUGAGGCACGAAAGCGUGGGGAGCAAACAGG